rnacentral:lncRNA from 1 species
GUCGGGUAAGGACCCAGCAAGACAGUAACGGAUCGGGUAAGGACCCAACAAGAUAGUAACCGGUAACGAGCAGACGAAGAAGAAGAGGGAGACCAAUCUUAGUUGGAAUAUUUAAUUGCCUUGUCUCCUUUUUCCUCACUUUAUUUCGUUUCUUUAUCAUUUUUGCUCGCCCACGAGCGAAUCUUCUUGUCUCCGAUCUCUCU